rnacentral:rRNA from 1 species
UAGGGAAUCUUCGGCAAUGGACGAAAGUCUGACCGAGCAACGCCGCGUGAGUGAAGAAGGUUUUCGGAUCGUAAAACUCUGUUGUUAGAGAAGAACAAGGACGUUAGUAACUGAACGUCCCCUGACGGUAUCUAACCAGAAAGCCACGGCUAACUACGUGCCAGCAGCCGCGGUAAUACGUAGGUGGCAAGCGUUGUCCGGAUUUAUUGGGCGUAAAGCGAGCGCAGGCGGUUUCUUAAGUCUGAUGUGAAAGCCCCCGGCUCAACCGGGGAGGGUCAUUGGAAACUGGGAGACUUGAGUGCAGAAGAGGAGAGUGGAAUUCCAUGUGUAGCGGUGAAAUGCGUAGAUAUAUGGAGGGAUACCGGUGGCGAAGGCGGCCCCUGGACAAAGACUGACGCUCAGGUGCGAAAGCGUGGGGAGCAAACAGG